UAUUCAAUCAUGUUUCGGGGUGGGCUCUGCUUUGAAUGUCGACGUCACCCAACGUAUCAGUUGACGUUAUCAACGUUAUCAUAGUGAUAUGCGCGGGAGAUUGACUUGUUCUACCUGGGCUCACUCCUAACGUUCAUCGUUGAAAGCUUCCAUAGGCUACUGUUUAUUCUCCAGAUCAUACUGGAAAGCGUUUUUCUGUCCCUCCCAAAGGCCCUCAAGAACAACCCCCUUACCAGCACUACAAAUCAGAGGAGGCUGAACGGUCUUUAGGGAAAUGGUUUACUGGGGCAAGGGACAGGGGAGGGCUGAGGGCAGCCAGAGUGGCGAAGUGAUUUAAUUCAAUUCAAUUUAGGUAUUGCUGUUUGUAACCAGUUCUUGUUGUUGUUCUCUGUGUUGAUGUUGAUGU